GACGAACGCUGGCGGCGUGCUUAACACAUGCAAGUCGAGCGGAGCGGCGAACGGGUGAGUAACGCGUGAGUAACUGCCCCCCUCUCUGGGAUAACAGUUGGAAACGGCUGCUAAUACCGGAUACAGGGGUCUGGCUCUCGGCCUAUCAGCUUGUUGGUGGGGUGAUGGCCUACCCAGGCGGUGACGGGUAGCCGGCCUGAGAGGGUGACCGGCCACAUGGGUCUGAGAUACGGCCCAGACGCCUACGGGAGGCAGCAGGGGGGGAUAUUGCACAAUGGGCGCAAGCCUGACCCAGCAACGCGCGUGAAGGAAGACGGUCUUCGGAUUGUAAACUUCUUUAGACAGGGACGCGGUACCUGUAGAAUAAGCCACGGCUAACUACGUGCCAGCAGCCGCGGUAAUAC
rnacentral:rRNA from 1 species